GCUUCUAUUCCUUUCACAUUCAUGUCAAAAUCUUCCCUCACAAGCUUUAUAGGUGAUACUACAAGACUUACUAACUGCUUCUGUCACCCAAAUAAUCUAGGUGGGUUUCUUUAACAAUUUUCUUCACUAUUCUCCUCUUCCUGACAGUUUGCGACCUCAUACAUGUCUCUCUGCCUAUGAGUUUCUCCCUACUUACUAAGUACUUGAGUUAACAUCUCAGUAGGCCUUACAACAGCCCUGCC
rnacentral:lncRNA from 1 species